GGAAAAGAUACCAUAUGACAGACGGCGCUAUGUAGCCAUUGUAUAAGAAUGAUGUCUUUGUGUUUUGUUAGUGUUGCUCUCCGGUAACAAGUGUGAUGAUACUAGGAGAUGGAAUUCAUGGUAGAAGGGGAGGACUUCAACCACCACAGUUCCUGCAAGCCUUAGAGUGCAAGUUAGUCCUUUUAAAUCACAUGGUGUUCUUAUAUGAUCAUCCAGCAAGAGAGAAGAAACAAACUAUGUUUUCUGCACAAAGACAGAAGGAAUGAGAAGAGGAACGGAUCACAUCAAAUGGAUUCUGAGAGUGCCACAAAACACUUGUUGCAUGUUGUCCCGACACUGCAAUAUGAUAUUUGCUUUGUGAUGUUGUAUCAAUAUGUGAGACGAUCUGUCUUCUUGAGAGUCUCAUGUCUGACAAGGCAGUUCCCAACUCAGAGUCUCACUUCUUUUAAAGCAAUUUUAUCUGUACACGUGUAAACAGCAGCCAACUCUUUGGGAUCUCCAGAGCAAUCUGUGUAAACUUAAGCACUGAAAAAUCUGAAUGACCUACAAUUCCACAGGCAAACAACUCAAAUUAUUAGUUGUAAUCCCAAGUAUAUCAUCAUAUACCAGAGAGUAUAUCAGUACAUCACUGUGAAUAACUAUCAGGCAGUCUUCCCGAUGAACAGCAUGACAGAAGAAUGUAUGGGCUAAGAAUAAUAGUUUGUCUUGUUUGCCUGUCAAGAAAAUUCUGAAAGAUCCAUAUUUUUGGGUAGGAUUUGCGCAGCAAGAACUGUGUGUUCUUCUUGUUAAUCAAACCUAGUAGUAAAGGAAUUGUUUCUGUUUCAUUAAAUGGGUUAUCCCCCAUGUGAUUCCUUUCUUUUGUUUAUUUUUAAAGGAUAGGAGAGCAGGUAGAAAAGAAAAUGUGCUGUACUAUUAUUUUUUUCCCAAUUUGUAAUCUUGUGAGAAAAAACGUGGAGAUGUUAUAAUCCCCGAACUCCCCAAUUACACUCAUUCAAACUGGUUUUUUUUCUGUGAUUGUCAGCAAUACUGCAUCUAGAGAAUCUCAAAUUGGUGGGAUUUGAUUUAGGAUUCUGCAGUAAGUCAUGAAUUAUUAGAGAAGAAAUUCUGCAUGGUGAUUAACACAUUUUCUCUUGCUCCAUCAAUAUUGUUCUUCCACCCUUAUGUGAGGAGCUGUAAGCAAAUAUCUCCCUCAGGUGGGGUCAGUGCCCACAUGCCUUGAAAGACAUCUUGGAGGACUGAUAGAUCCCAGGAAGCUCUGGAGCUCAAACAUGUGUUUGGUCAUGAUUAUUUUAAUAAACAAUAUUUCUGCUUCCUUCA
rnacentral:lncRNA from 1 species